UGAGAAUGUAAAACGAUGUAGCACGAUAUACUUUAAAAAAUUCAAUUAUCUUUCUCCAACUAUUGAAGACAACGCCCCCCCCAAAACAACGACCCGCUUCUCCAAAACUCUCUCACUUCUGCUCCUCGCUCGACUCACAUCCUCGUUAACUAUUACAGAGUCAACCUAAUUACGCGAUUCUCGCUUGGUAUUUACCUUUUGCUCAAAAGCCCUCAAAGGCUUCGCUGAAGCUGGCGUUCUGCUAAAAGGAAAGACAGUUCAUGCACUUCUAGUGAAGUUAGGACUGUAUAAUGUACUAUCCUUGCAAAAUCAGAUUUUGAUUGGUUAUAUCAAAUGCAAAGUAUUCAAUGAAGCACAUAGAUUGUUUGAUGAAAUGAGUGUAAGAAAUGUGGUGACGUGGAAUACAGUGAUUUGUGGCCUUGUUGAUUGUCGUAAUAAUUACGGUUCAAG
rnacentral:misc_RNA from 1 species